CCGGAUUAGAUACCCUGGUAGUCCACGCCGUAAACGAUGUCGACUUGGAGGCUGUUCCCCUGAGGAGUGGCUUCCGGAGCUAACGCGUUAAGUCGACCGCCUGGGGAGUACGGCCGCAAGGUUAAAACUCAAAUGAAUUGACGGGGGCCCGCACAAGCGGUGGAGCAUGUGGUUUAAUUCGAUGCAACGCGAAGAACCUUACCUACUCUUGACAUCCAGAGAACUUUCCAGAGAUGGAUUGGUGCCUUCGGGAACUCUGAGACAGGUGCUGCAUGGCUGUCGUCAGCUCGUGUUGUGAAAUGUUGGGUUAAGUCCCGCAACGAGCGCAACCCUUAUCCUUUGUUGCCAGCGAUUCGGUCGGGAACUCAAAGGAGACUGCCGGUGAUAAACCGGAGGAAGGUGGGGAUGACGUCAAGUCAUCAUGGCCCUUACGAGUAGGGCUACACACGUGCUACAAUGGCGCAUACAAAGAGAAGCGACCUCGCGAGAGCAAGCGGACCUCAUAAAGUGCGUCGUAGUCCGGAUCGGAGUCUGCAACUCGACUCCGUGAAGUCGGAAUCGCUAGUAAUCGUGGAUCAGAAUGCCACGGUGAAUACGUUCCCGGGCCUUGUACACACCGCCCGUCACACCAUGGGAGUGGGUUGCAAAAGAAGUAGGUAGCUUAACCUUCGGGAGGGCGCUUACCACUUUGUGAUUCAUGACUGGGGUGAAGUCGUAACAAGGUACC
rnacentral:rRNA from 1 species